rnacentral:rRNA from 1 species
AACGAACGCUGGCGGCAUGCCUAAUAUAUGCAAGUCGAACGAGAUCUUCGGAUCUAGUGGCGCACGGGUGCGUAACGCGUGGGAAUCUGCCCUUGGGUUCGGAAUAACAUCUGGAAACGGAUGCUAAUACCGGAUGAUGACGUAAGUCCAAAGAUUUAUCGCCCAAGGAUGAGCCCGCGUAGGAUUAGCUAGUUGGUGAGGUAAAGGCUCACCAAGGCUACGAUCCUUAGCUGGUCUGAGAGGAUGAUCAGCCACACUGGGACUGAGACACGGCCCAGACUCCUACGGGAGGCAGCAGUAGGGAAUAUUGGACAAUGGGGGCAACCCUGAUCCAGCAAUGCCGCGUGAGUGAUGAAGGCCUUAGGGUUGUAAAGCUCUUUCGGCCGGGAAGAAAUCGCAUGGGUUAAUACCCUGUGCGGAUGACGGUACCGGCAUAAGAAGCACCGGCUAACUACGUGCCAGCAGCCGCGGUAAGAGUGUGUGUACC